GACGGUAGAGCUCAGUGGUAGAGCGCAUGUUUAGCAUGUAUGAAGUCCUGGGUUCGAUCCCCAGUACCUCCA
rnacentral:tRNA from 1 species